AGGUGACUGCGUACCUUUUGUAUAAUGGGUCAGCGACUUAUAUUCUGUAGCAAGGUUAACCGAAUAGGGGAGCCGAAGGGAAACCGAGUCUUAACUGGGCGUUAAGUUGCAGGGUAUAGACCCGAAACCCGGUGAUCUAGCCAUGGGCAGGUUGAAGGUUGGGUAACACUAACUGGAGGACCGAACCGACUAAUGUUGAAAAAUUAGCGGAUGACUUGUGGCUGGGGGUGAAAGGCCAAUCAAACCGGGAGAUAGCUGGUUCUCCCCGAAAGCUAUUUAGGUAGCGCCUCGUGAACUCAUCUUCGGGGGUAGAGCACUGUUUCGGCUAGGGGGUCAUCCCGACUUACCAACCCGAUGCAAACUGCGAAUACCGAAGAAUGUUAUCACGGGAGACACACGGCGGGUGCUAACGUCCGUCGUGAAGAGGGAAACAACCCAGACCGCCAGCUAAGGUCCCAAAGUCACAGUUAAGUGGGAAACGAUGUGGGAAGGCACAGACAGCCAGGAUGUUGGCUUAGAAGCAGCCAUCAUUUAAAGAAAGCGUAAUAGCUCACUGGUCGAGUCGGCCUGCGCGGAAGAUGUAACGGGGCUAAACUGUGCACCGAAGCUGCGGCAGCGACACUAUGUGUUGUUGGGUAGGGGAGCGUUCUGUAAGCCGUUGAAGGUGUGUCGUGAGGCAUGCUGGAGGUAUCAGAAGUGCGAAUGCUGACAUAAGUAACGAUAAUGCGGGUGAAAAACCCGCACGCCGGAAGACCAAGGGUUCCUGUCCAACGUUAAUCGGGGCAGGGUGAGUCGACCCCUAAGGCGAGGCCGAAAGGCGUAGUCGAUGGGAAACAGGUUAAUAUUCCUGUACUUGGUGUUACUGCGAAGGGGGGACGGAGAAGGCUAUGUUAGCCGGGCGACGGUUGUCCCGGUUUAAGCAUGUAGGCGGAGGUUCCAGGUAAAUCCGGUACCUUUUUAACGCUGAGGUGUGAUGACGAGGCACUACGGUGCUGAAGUAACAAAUGCCCUGCUUCCAGGAAAAGCCUCUAAGCAUCAGGUAACACGAAAUCGUACCCCAAACCGACACAGGUGGUCAGGUAGAGAAUACCAAGGCGCUUGAGAGAACUCGGGUGAAGGAACUAGGCAAAAUGGUGCCGUAACUUCGGGAGAAGGCACGCUGAUAUGUAGGUGAAGCGGUUUACCCGUGGAGCUGAAAUCAGUCGAAGAUACCAGCUGG
rnacentral:rRNA from 1 species